GAUGAAGGGCGUGCUAAUCUGCGAUAAGCGCCGGUAAGGUGAUAUGAACCGUUAUAACCGGCGAUACCCGAAUGGGGAAACCCAGUGUGACUCGUCACACUAUCAUUAACUGAAUCCAUAGGUUAAUGAGGCGAACCGGGGGAACUGAAACAUCUAAGUACCCCGAGGAAAAGAAAUCAACCGAGAUUCCCCCAGUAGCGGCGAGCGAACGGGGAGGAGCCCAGAGCCUGAAUCAGCAUGUGUGUUAGUGGAAGCGUCUGGAAAGGCGCGCGAUACAGGGUGACAGCCCCGUACACAAAAGCGCAUGUGCUGUGAGCUCGAUGAGUAGGGCGGGACACGUGGUAUCCUGUCUGAAUAUGGGGGGACCAUCCUCCAAGGCUAAAUACUCCUGACUGACCGAUAGUGAACCAGUACCGUGAGGGAAAGGCGAAAAGAACCCCGGCGAGGGGAGUGAAAAAGAACCUGAAACCGUGUACGUACAAGCAGUGGGAGCACCCUUUGGG
rnacentral:rRNA from 1 species